CGUGCUUAACACAUGCAAGUCGAACGAGAACGGUCCUUCGGGAUGUCAGCUAAGUGGCGGACGGGUGAGUAAUGUAUAGUUAAUCUGCCCUUUGGAGGGGGAUAACAGUUGGAAACGACUGCUAAUACCCCAUACUCCUUAUAUUGUAAUGAUAUAAGGGAAAUGUUUUUUCGCCAAAGGAUGAGACUAUAUGGUAUCAGGUAGUUGGUGGGGUAAGAGCCUACCAAGCCGAUGACGCCUAGCUGGUCUGAGAGGAUGAUCAGCCACACUGGAACUGAGACACGGUCCAGACUCCUACGGGAGGCAGCAGUGGGGAAUAUUGCACAAUGGAGGAAACUCUGAUGCAGCAACGCCGCGUGGAGGAUGACACAUCUCGGUGCGUAAACUCCUUUUAUAUGGGAAGAUAAUGACGGUACCAUAUGAAUAAGCACCGGCUAACUCCGUGCCAGCAGCCGCGGUAAUACGGAGGGUGCAAGCGUUACUCGGAAUCACUGGGCGUAAAGCGCGCGCAGGCGGCUAAUUUAAGUUUGGAUGUGAAAAGCCUACCGGCUCAACCCGUAGAACUGCAUCCAAAACUAUUUAGCUAGAGUGUGGGAGAGGAAAGAUGGAAUUUAGUUGUGUAGGGGUAAAAUCCGUAGAGAUAACUAGGAAUACCAAAAAGCGAAAGGCAUUCUUCUGGAACACUACUGACGCUGAGGCGCGAAAGCGUGGGGAGCAAACAGGGUUAGAUACCCUGGUAGUCCACGCAGUAAACGAUGAAUGUUAGUCGUCGGGUAGCUAGUCUAUUCGGUGAUGCAGCUAACGCCAUUAAACAUUCCGCCUGGGGGAGUACGGUCGCAAGAUUAAAACUCAAAGGAAUAGACGGGGACCCGCACAAGUGGUGGAGCAUGUGGUUUAAUUCGAAGAUACGCGAAGAACCUUACCUAGCCUUGACAUAUUUUAGAAUUCUUUAGAGAUAGAGAAGUGCCUUCGGGAGCUAAUUUACAGGUGCUGCACGGCUGUCGUCAGCUCGUGUCGUGAGAUGU
rnacentral:rRNA from 1 species